AUUUGAAGACAUAGAAGAACGAACCCUUUUAGUUUGAUGGACGUCCUUAUCAGUCUAUGGUCUAACUUAUGAACGUGUCGGGUCAACGUCAACAAUAAAUACAAUACAAUGUGAUGCUGUGUGAGAUUACCGACUGGUCUUCGUUGAUUGGAUCCUGCACACUGCCUGUGUUCUGGGGCACCCAUGGAGGAUCAAACAUGGGCACACAUGGCAUACCCAAGAUGGGAGAAGGUUUAUGACUUCACCAGCGGCAGCAGCCAUAUGUUCAUCCACACUUAGAAGCAGCUCCCAGGCAGCAGGCUGGAUGUCUCCAUACAUGUCCUCAGUGAGAAUAGGUGCUGCUUUUAUCAGCAAUGAGAGUGGUGCUGGAGACAGACUCAUCACCUAGGCAUAGAAACAAUCAUGACUAAAAAUGAUUAAAUACACCUAAUAAACUCCUGCAUACACCUUUUGUGGAACACUUGUGCAUGCAGGUUUUCCCACAUACAGGUUAUAUGUUGGAAUUCAUGUAAGGGUGGAGAUAAAAGUUUAAGAUUUGGUCAAACAACGUGGAAUAAGAACUGUUAACAAACUGUUGUGACAAAGUAUUUGCUACUAGCACCAUCUACUGAA